GACGAACCGUGCGAACGUUGUUCGGAUUCACUGGGCUUAAAGGGCGCGUAGGCGGCUCGCCAAGUCGGGGGUGAAAUCUUUCGGCUCAACCGGAAAACAGCUUCCGAUACUGGCGGGCUCGAGUGGGGUAGGGGCGACUGGAACUUCCGGUGGAGCGGUGAAAUGCGUAGAUAUCGGAAGGAACGCCGGUGGCGAAAGCGAGUCGCUGGACCCCUCCUGACGCUGAGGCGCGAAAGCCAGGGGAGCGAACGGG
rnacentral:rRNA from 1 species